rnacentral:rRNA from 1 species
CUGUCCCAGUUCGGACUGGAGUCUGCAACCCGACUCCACGAAGUUGGAUUCGCUAGUAAUCGCGCAUCAGCCAUGGCGCGGUGAAUACGUUCCCGGGCCUUGUACACACCGCCCGUCAAGCCAUGGGAGCCGGGGGCGCCUGAAGUCCGGGACCGCGAGGACCGGCCUAGGGCGAAACUGGUAACUGGGGCUAAGUCGUAACAAGGUAGC